rnacentral:rRNA from 1 species
GACGAACCGUGCGAACGUUGUUCGGAUUCACUGGGCUUAAAGGGCGCGUAGGCGGGUGACCAAGUCCGGGGUGAAAUCUUUCGGCUCAACCGGAAAAGUGCCUUGGAUACUGGUCAUCUCGAGGGAGGUAGGGGCAUGCGGAACUUCCGGUGGAGCGGUGAAAUGCGUAGAUAUCGGAAGGAACACCGGUGGCGAAGGCGGGUCUCUGGGCAGUAACUGACGCUGAGGAGCGAAAGCGUGGGGAGCGAACAGG